rnacentral:rRNA from 1 species
GACGAACGCUGGCGGCGUGCUUAACACAUGCAAGUCGAACGGAAAGGCCCUGCUUUUGUGGGGUGCUCGAGUGGCGAACGGGUGAGUAACACGUGAGUAACCUGCCCUUGACUUUGGGAUAACUUCAGGAAACUGGGGCUAAUACCGGAUAGGAGCUCCUGCUGCAUGGUGGGGGUUGGAAAGUUUCGGCGGUUGGGGAUGGACUCGCGGCUUAUCAGCUUGUUGGUGGGGUAGUGGCUUACCAAGGCUUUGACGGGUAGCCGGCCUGAGAGGGUGACCGGCACAAUGGGGACGGGGAAACGGCCAGGAUUCUAACGGAGGGAAGAGGUGGGGAAUAUGCACAAAGGGGCGGAGGCUGGAUGCGGAAACGCGGGGUCGGGAAGGACGGCUUUCGGGUUGAAAACCGUUUUCGCCGGUGACGAGGCGUGGGGACGGGAAAUGGGUAAAGAAGAACCGCUAACUUACUG